GGGCCCGUGGCCUAGUCAGGAUAUGGCGCCAGCCUUCUAAGCUGGUGAUCGUGGGUGCGAAUCCCACCGGGCCCG
rnacentral:tRNA from 1 species